CCCAGCAUCUGACUCAUUGGGAACCACAAAAUCCCAACAAGUCUCAGCAACAUCCAUGGGGUUACUCCCAUGACUGUGGGCCUGGUCUAAAGCAAGUAGGAUUUACCCACAAUCACAUUGUUUAUUUUCCAACCAGUAACUACAGGACAAGGCUGCCUGUGGCGCUACUAACUCCACACCUUAAAUUGGCUAGUAGAAAUCACUGCUGAGCAAUCAUCAUGCGCCAGGCCUUUCCUACAAGAGGAAUGAGCUACUGACAAAGUGAGCUAACUGAAAAGGGUACUACUGAAAGAGGCUAUGACCAAGUUGCCAUUGCUGGUGUUUCAAAAGCUGUGUGUAUUGAGUUUGCAGCAUUGGCAGCUGGUACCAGUAACAAAAAGCACCUGCAGCUCACUUGAGAGCUAUACCACAUGUUGAGGAACGUACAG